rnacentral:tRNA from 1 species
AUUUACAUAGUAUAAUCAUUAUAAUUGAUUUCCAAUCAAAAGAUCUAUUUAAUAGUGUAAAUA